UUGGCCAGUCCAACGACUGAAGCAUAGGGGUAUCGUUAUAAUAUUAAAAUCAGUUUAUGUAUGAGCUUAUACAUAAUGCAAGAAUAUUGAUUUUAUAAAAUUUAACAUUAAGUUAAAUGAGCAAAAUAAAAUAAUAAAAUUAAAAAUAGGUCAGUUCAUUACUUGUUCAAAAGUGACUAAGAAAUUAAAUCAAGACUAGUCAUGUCAAAUCAAAUGACGAUUAAAAAAAAAAACAAAAUUAAACUGAAAUAAGUCGACAGACAGUCGGAUAAUUACUCAGCGUAAUUUUACAUAGAUGACUUUAAUUUGUUGGUCAAGAAUAAAGAUUGUGCUUAAAAUUUAAAUGCUAAUGUACUUAAAUAAAAUAUAAGUUAAACUGUCCGAACAGUGAAAUAUAAAACAAACUCAUAUUUGCUGUACAGAUUAAGUUAACAAUUAAUAUUACAAUAUAUAAUAAAUCGAUAACUAUUGAUUUAAGUUAAAAAAACUGUGGUAAGCCGGAAUAGACGUCGCACUAUACCAAGCAGUCAUAACUAAAAUAUAGGUUAAGUGAUAACGGUAAGCCGGAAUAGACAUCGCACUAAACCGCACACUAACAAAAAGUAAAACAAAAUAAUCAAGUUAAGUUAAAUUAUAACAGCAAGCUGGAAUGGACUUCGUACUAAACCGUAUAAUAACAUGAAAUAAAGUAAGAGUUCAAGUGAAGUUAAGAAAAGCACAACUUUGUUUUUUUUUUUUAAAAAUUUGCAUAUGAAAAUAAUUCAUAUGACUUAUCAUAGUAAAAUGUGACUGACCUAGGAGAGAUUUUGGGGAAAAUAUAAAAAAAAUCCUGCAAAAGGAACAUGCCCUAUGAGAGAAUAAUAUAGAUUUAAAUAUAUAUAUAUCUUAAAUAAAUAUCUUAAUCUAAUUCUUAAAAUCUAAGACUUCAAUGAGGUCUUCGAUGUGGACACAUAAUACAGGCGUCUUCCAUGUAUUGUAGUAAUGAUUAAAUCCAGCGGCGUAACGCAUAACCAUGUGACUCGGAAAAAACUCGCUGACAGCUACAAGGUCACUCGAACAACCACCACAAAAAAUAAUACAUACAAAUACACAAAAAGGACCGUACGGCUACAAACUUCAAUCUAAAAACAAAGGUGAGGCAAAUAACAUGUCCUAAGGACCAAAAUAGUACACUUAUGUUAUGAGCUCGUAAUGAAAAUUUAAUGAGACAAUAUAUAUUUAUAAUAUAACGACGUAAAAAUAAAAAUUGAAUAUAAUAAAUAAAAUUAGUAUAAGUAUUGUAACUACGAUAAGAGAAUAAAACAUUUCCCAAGGCAUGUGACCAAUGUCCUGGCGUCAUGUUUAUACCCCCCAAACCAUAAGUCAAAUAACGUACUGAUUAAACUAUUUUUACGUUAAAUGAAAAGGUUUAUUGUGAGAAAAAGUAAGUAAAGACAUUUAUGUCUUAUCCUGGCCAGGGUCGCCAUUCUGCAAGCGGGCUUUUAUUAAUAGUAAUUCGGCCUGUAACAACAACGUGGUUUGCUACUUGCAUAACGACUAGCUAGAGUAGCAAGGGCGCCACCACCUAGGUGAGGUGUCACACCUAUCAGAUAUGAUUACCGGACCAUAGGUGGAAUUUAAUUUUAAGUUAAUUAAAAGUAUAAUCUAAGUUAAUAUGUCGUUAUAUGUAUAAAUUACUAUAAUGCCUCGUGGUUUAUAGAACACAAUUAUGACAAUCAAAGUUGUAUGUGGUUGAUAUGUAAAACAUACCGUAGCCCGUGUCUAGAUUAAGGAAUAGGGAUAAAUACACGCGAGUAAUUAAGUUACUCGCGCAAUAAAAUAAAUAUUACAGUUGAAAUUAAUAAGGAAAUUUAAUUUAAUUGUUAAAAAAAGAAAAUUAAGUUAAACAUGGACAAAAAUGCGAAUGCAUCAAAAACCAUGUCUACAAAUAAAGGCAAUACAAAUAAAAUAAAAUAUUUAAACAAAUAAUAUUACAAACAUCACGGACGGUAUUGGAACACAUCCGUUAAUGUUAACAGGAAAUUAAUGAAGAACACCAGGAGCGGUCUGGACACUCGCUCCUUAGCGUUGGCUAGAAGAAAAGGGAAACACGUGCUCUCCACACAUAAACAAAAUUAAGUUAAUUUACAAUAAAAUAAAAUGAAAUAAAAUAAUUAAUAAAAUAUAGCUCAUUACAUAAAUAUAAUAUAAAAAAGAAAA